GUAGGUGAACCUGCGGAAGGAUCAUUAUUGAAUGAACUUGACGUGGUUGUAGCUGGCUCUCUCGAGAGUAUGUGCACACCCGUCAUCUUUAUUUCUCCACCUGUGCACAUCUUGUAGACUUGGAAUUUGAGAUUUUCUGAGGCAACUCAGUUGGGAGGACUUGCUGUGCGCUUUUACGAGUGCCGGCUUUCCUUGCUUAGAUCUUCAAGUCUAUGUUUUUCAUAUACCCCAUUGUAUGUAACAGAAUGUAUCAAUGAGCCUUGUGCUUAUAAACUAUAUACAACUUUCAACAACGGAUCUCUUGGCUCUC
rnacentral:misc_RNA from 1 species